rnacentral:tRNA from 1 species
AAAGAAAUAACUAAAAAAAAGCUUCUAACUUUUUAAUAAGCAUUAAAUUGUUUUU